UUUUUCUUUUCUAUUUUUUUUGUCUUCGUCCUCUGGCCUCCGUUUUCAGGUCAUUAAAUUCGUCAUCGAAAUGCCGACGAUGCUGUGGGUGAUAAAUAGGAGAAAAGGGGGGGUGUGGUGAGAAAGGAGCUAUUAGCUUGAAGCUAGCCUCCCCCCUUAAUGCCCAACAUCGGAUAUUGAUAUUUUCCGAUUAGGUGGAAAAAGUCGUGGAAGUCG